rnacentral:rRNA from 1 species
CCUACGGGAGGCAGCAGUGAGGAAUAUUGGUCAAUGGGCGUAAGCCUGAACCAGCCAAGUCGCGGGAGGGAUGAAGGUUCUAUGGAUCGUAAACCUCUUUUAUAAGGGAAUAAAGGGUGGGACGUGUCCUAUUUUGUAUGUACCUUAUGAAUACGGAUAGGCUAACUCCGUGCCAGCAGCCGCGGUAAUACGGAGGCACCGAGCUUUAUCCGGAUUUAUUGGGUUUAAAGGGGGCGGAGGCGGCCUUUUAAGUCAGCGGUGAAAGUCUGUGGCUCAACCAUAGAAUUGACGUUGAAACUGGGGGGCUUGAGUAUGUUUGAGGCAGGCGGAAUGCGUGGUGUAGCGGUGAAAUGCUUAGAUAUCACGCAGAACCCCGAUUGCGAAGGCAGCCUGCCAAGCCAUGACUGACGCUGAUGCACGAAAGCGUGGGGAUCAAACAGGAUUAGAUACCCCGGUAGUC